rnacentral:rRNA from 1 species
CGUGCGUAGGCGGCCAAUUAAGUCAAAUGUGAAAUCCCCGAGCUUAACUUGGGAAUUGCAUUCGAUACUGGUUGGCUAGAGUAUGGGAGAGGAUGGUAGAAUUCCAGGUGUAGCGGUGAAAUGCGUAGAGAUCUGGAGGAAUACCGAUGGCGAAGGCAGCCAUCUGGCCUAAUACUGACGCUGAGGUACGAAAGCAUGGGGAGCAAACAGGAUUAGAUACCCUGGUAGUCCAUGCCGUAAACGAUGUCUACUAGCCGUUGGGGCCCUUGAGGCUUUAGUGGCGCAGCUAACGCGAUAAGUAGACCGCCUGGGGAGUACGGUCGCAAGACUAAAACUCAAAUGAAUUGACGGGGGCCCGCACAAGCGGUGGAGCAUGUGGUUUAAUUCGAUGCAACGCGAAGAACCUUACCUGGCCUUGACAUACAGAGAACUUUCCAGAGAUGGAUUGGUGCCUUCGGGAACUCUGAUACAGGUGCUGCAUGGCUGUCGUCAGCUCGUGUCGUGAGAUGUUGGGUUAAGUCCCGCAACGAGCGCAACCCUUUUCCUUAUUUGCCAGCACUUCGGGUGGGAACUUUAAGGAUACUGCCAGUGACAAACUGGAGGAAGGCGGGGACGACGUCAAGUCAUCAUGGCCCUUACGGCCAGGGCUACACACGUGCUACAAUGGUCGGUACAAAGGGUUGCUACACAGCGAUGUGAUGCUAAUCUC